GACGAACGCUGGCGGCGUGCUUAACACAUGCAAGUCGAACGGAAAGGCCCUGCUUUUGUGGGGUGCUCGAGUGGCGAACGGGUGAGUAACACGUGAGUAACCUGCCCUUGACUUUGGGAUAACUUCAGGAAACUGGGGCUAAUACCGGAUAGGAGCUCCUGCUGCAUGGUGGGGGUUGGAAAGUUUCGGCGGUUGGGGAUGGACUCGCGGCUUAUCAGCUUGUUGGUGGGGUAGUGGCUUACCAAGGCUUUGGCGGGUAGCCGGCCUGAGAGGGUGACCGGCCACAUUGGGACUGAGAUACGGCCCAGACUCCUACGGGAGGCAGCAGUGGGGAAUAUUGCACAAUGGGCGGAAGCCUGAUGCAGCACCGCCGCGUGCGGGAUGACGGCCUUCGGGUUGUAAACCGCUUUCGCCUGUGACGAAGCGUGAGUGACGGUAAUGGGUAAAGAAGCACCGGCUAACUACGUG
rnacentral:rRNA from 1 species